rnacentral:rRNA from 1 species
CCUACGAGUGGCUGCAGUGGGGAAUAUUGGACAAUGGGCGAAAGCCUGAUCCAGCCAUGCCGCGUGGGUGAAGAAGGCCUUCGGGUUGUAAAGCACUUUCAGUGGGGAAGCAAGCCUUUGGGCUAAUACCCUCGAGGAAGGACAUCACCCACAGAAUAAGCACCGGCUAACUCCGUGCCAGCAGCCGCGGUAAUACGAUGGUGCGAGCGUUAAUCGGAAUUACUGGGCGUAAAGCGCGCGUAGGCGGUCUGAUAAGCCGGUUGUUAAAGCCCCGGGCUCAACCUGGGAACGGCAUCCGGAACUGUCAGGCUAGAGUGCAGGAGAGGAAGGGAGAAUUCCCGGUGUAGAGGUGAAAUGCGUAGAGAUCGGGAGGAAUACCAGUGGCGAAGGCGGCCUUCUGGACUGACACUGACGCUGAGGUGCGAAAGCGUGGGUAGCAAACAGGAUUAGAUACCCUUGUAGUC